GGCGGGGGAGGCGGGCGGAGGGGACGCCGCGCCCAAGCCGCGCCUCUGGAUGGCGACAGAGACGGCCCGGCGCGCCCGCUGCCUGGGCACCAAGCGGGGAGGACAGACCUGGCCGGCGCGAAGUUUGUGGACUUGGGCUGCGGGCCCCGGGCGCCCCUACUCCUUCCCGCAGAGGCCCGCGACGCCGGGGCCCAGAGUUUACCUCAAAGAUCAUCAGGAGAACUGAUUCAGAGGGAAGUGGAUCCCGUAUAUCCUUCGAGGUCAGCUUCCCCAGCCCCACUCCUCUCUCGGGUCCCCUCAGCAAGACGAGCUCCCAAGACCAGAUGCUCGCCAGGCAGCCCCGCGGUACCGGAGCACCUUCUGAUCCCGCACGAGCAGGGGCCUCCAAGGACCCCAUGAGGCCUUGCUGGAACUGGAUACCCUUUCCCAGGGGUCGCUAGAGGGCCCGAUGCAAAGACGGUCUCCGGCAUCACCCGUCACCUCGAAUCCCCGCCCGCCGGGCCUCUAAGGAGACCGUGGAGGCCGUGAUGAGCGCUGAGGGCCCGCGGUGGCCCAGUGAGGACGCCUCUGCAGCUCCAACAGUAUUCCUGCUGUAAUGUGAGUGUGUCCGGGAUGAUUUUCUUCAUACAUUUUUCUGUUCCUGCUUAAUUAAAACAGUCUGACUUCCCUCCUCCGUGUCCUCCUGCCACGCUUCCUGAUUCCCUCUGCUGGCAUGCAGGCACCACGGACCCUGGGCUCCUGAGAACCUGGGGUUGGCGGGGGGCAGGACCCUUCUGGAAUGUGCUGGGCUGGUGUCCGCCCUCUGGCCCCUGGAGGGGCUCCCUCGCUGUCCCUGCAGCUCCCAGGGGAUGCCAGGAUCUCUAGCUCUUAAGUUCCCCCCUUUGAUGGCAGCCUUUCAUCCUGUUCAGAAGGAAGUGACUUUUUCAAAUGUGACACGUUCCAUUUCGUCCUGUCCAUCCUGAACUCCUGUUAUGUUCCGGACAUUCCCUCAUCCAGCAGCCAUUCGUUGGGCACCUUCUAGAUGUCACUGCUGCAGGAGAGGAAUUAAACAAGACACACGCUUUCUGUUCCCUGGAAAUGUGUGCCCGGUUCGGGAAAUGGAUGAGGAAACUGGCAAUCAGGGCGCAGUGUGGCCGAGCCGUGAUGGGAGGGGCUAAUCCGGCAGGGGAAGAACACUUGGCCCCAGAUCAGGUGUGGGGCGCUGGGAGGGUGUGCCAGGGAAGCUUCCGGCAGAGCGGUUUUCAAACACGUUUAGUGCCGUCCUUAGAAAGAGCACACACAAACACACACGUGAAAUGACAGUUUCACAAAACAAUACCCACGCUCUCAAUACUCUGUGCUGUUUUCCAUUCUGUCCUAAUUCGUUCCUUAAAACACCGGUUGUCCACCAAUGCUUGUGUUUACUGCAAUUUUCUUUGCCGGACAAGCACUGUUCCAGGGGAGAUGUGGUCUGCGUUGAACGUGGGAGGAUAAAUUAGAGCUGUCACACCAAAGGUCAGAGGAACCCGGUGACAGUGGGCAGCGGGGGAGCCCCAACCAGAGACAGGGGUACGGUGAGUUUGGCACAAUCUGCUUUCUCUUGGAGCUCACACCACAAGACUUCUGUGGCUACAACACGAGGGGGUUGACAUGUACGAAGAAAAAGUAUUCAAAGACGCUUGCUGAAGAUGACGACGCAGAUGUGGUUCAGGGCCCUCGCGACCAGCGCGGGACGGGGUUGUGCACCAGGGAGGGGCUGGGCUCAACCCGGGGUACGGCGUGGGCCAGUGGGGGUUCCCAGGCAGGGAGCAGGAGGGGCAGUGGGAGGAACGUUACUGAGAGGAAACGUCGAGGUGAGGGGGGCUCCGGUCACACUGACUUGGGGGGGUUCUCGUUAGGCUGAUUGUACAGGAAGUACACGGGUGGGCCCCGGAGAGGGCUUGGGAGCCUGACGGAAGUCCAGUCGAGCAAGGAAUCUUUGUCUGAAAGGAAAGUUUCAUGAAUCUGGAGCGUAUCGACUAAGUCUUUGCUGGGUGCUGAAUCCGGAGUGUAUCGACUAACUGUUUACUGGGUGCUGAAUCCGGAGUGUAGUGACUAAGUCCCUGCUGGGUGCUGAAUCCGGAGUGUAUCCACUUAGUCCGUGCUGGGUGCUACAAAUCCCUACAAGGAAGAGGAAAGAGAGCUGAGCCCUUGGAAUCCCGGGUGGUAGAGGGUCCGAAACCCAGUGAGGCGGGAAAGGGCUGAGGAGGGGGGAUGAGAGGGACGGCUGACCAGUGACGGUGGCGGCGUCUCCGACAAGGGGCAGGGCGAUUAAGUUCGAGAUGCAGCCAGCAUCCAGCCCGAAGCGAGGGCAGAUGCUGGUGGCCCCUGGGGGGCUGGUGGGAGACCAAGAUGGAAACUGAGAAUGAGGGGGGAGGGGAGUCCUGUUGCUAGGAAACCGCGCAGACCUGGGCCGCCAAGCGCGCUGCCGGGUGACAGCAGCUGUCGAUUGGCUGGUUUGGGGGACUGGCCAGAACGGACAGGACGUUAAACUCUGAAGCCCGUAAGCAUGCUGGGGAAUCACGCCCCGCCUGCCCUCCGCGCCUAGCCAACGAGGCACGUGCUUGUGCGGCCCCGGGGGCGUGGCCUGCGUCUCACCCCACCCCAGGCCCAGAACCCCGGCCCACGGAGGGGGCCACCUGCCUCCCGGCUCGCCCAGGCGGCCGAGAGAGCCCCAGGAGUGGAGCGCUGCCCCGGGACGAGACGUGGCCCACGAGGGUGGCUGGCCGUGGCACUCGUUCCACGUGUGGGCAGGGAAUCUGAGCGGCUGCUCGACAGGAUCGGCGGGCGCCGUCUUCCGGCGGGAGGCUGGCGGUGGUUCUGUCCUCCGGCCCUCCGUGCUGAACGCGCUGCAUUUCUCACUUGAGUCGUGGGCUGCCAGACUGACCGAGAGGGUCCCGGCUGGAUGCUGAACUGGGUGGGAUGUGGGGAUGUCUCUGCCAGGGCAACGGGGAGCCAAGUGUGUUUUAUGGGAAGGCAGGUGCUGUUCCGCGAAGGAUAUAUGUGGUCUGUGCAUGGUAGGCUGCUAAGGGGGUGGACUGUAGUGUGCCUGGCCGGUUCCUCCUUCUGGAAACAAUUGCAGGUUCCCCUGUGAGGGUCCGGGGUGCAGUCUGCAGACACUGCAAGUGCUGGGAGGGACGGGGGCAGGACAGCAGGUGGUAGCAAGUGUAGAAGGCCAGGUAAGAGACAGGCUGGCCGCUUCCCUCGGGGGCAGCUGUGAGCGCAGAGGGACAGACCCCAGGGGCUUCAGGCGCUCUAUGGGAGGUGGAGAACCGAGGGCUGGGGGCCAUGGGGCCAUGGCAGAGAUGUGUCACGUGACUCUGGCUUCCGGCUAGAAAUGCUGGGAAGUGGCAGUGAUACCUGCCGAGACAGGUACUGGCCGGGUGAGGGUCAGGGAGGCCAGCCACUUCUUGCUCAGCGUUCAGGCUGCAGCGCGGCGGGAUGCGCGAAAGGGCAGAAGAUCAGCGGGUGCGGACGGCGAACGCAAGCCCCGCGAGGACCCAGGCCCCUGGCUGAAAUCUCAGCGCCGGAAACCGUGUCCUUCACACAGCUGUAUGUUCCAGGCACCGUCCCGAGCUCAUUGCCUGGAGAGACGGAUCACUGGACACCUGUACUUAGCUUUACGGAGGUGUAUUAGCCAGGGAUCUCCAGAGAAACAGAACCCAUAAGAGAGAGACACAGAAGGAGAGAGACCAGUAUUUUAAGUAAUUAGCUCAUGUGAUUGUGGGGGCUGGCAGUUCCAGAAUUCGCCAGGCAGGCCAGCAGGCUCGACACUCAGGAGGGAGUUGCUGUCUGAGCUCUGGAGGCAGAAUUCAUUCCUCCUCUGGGACCUCAGUCUUUCUUUCAAGGCCUUCACCUGAUUGGACGAGGCCCACCCACAUUCUGGAGGGCAAUCAGUUUACUGAAAAGCCUGCUGAUUCCCAUGUUGAUCACGUCUAAGAAAUACCACAGCAGUACCUGGGCUGAUGGCUGAACAAACACCUGGCUUCCGUGGCCCAGCCAAGUUGCUACGUAAAGUGAACCAACACGGGAGACAUAAUUGGUGUAUGAUUGACCGUACAUAUUUAAAGUGGGAAAUUUGACGUUUUGGCGCGUGUGUAUGCCCCUGAAAACAUCACCGCAGUAGAGGUAGUGAACAUAUCCGUACCUGUCAUCCCCAAAGGUUUUCAUUGGCCCUCUGUUAUCCUUGCAUCCCACACCUCCCUGCCCCCACCAUCCCCAGGCAGCCUCUGAUUUCUGUCAGUAUACAUUAAUUUGCAUUUCCUAGAAGUCUGUAAAAAUGGAACCAGACAGUAGAGCCUCCUUUUUUUCCUGGCUCGUUUCACCCAGUAAAAUUAUUUUGAGAUUCGUCCGUGUUGCUGUAUGUAUCCGUGGACUGCUGGUUUCUUCUUCCUGCUGAGCAGGGUUCUGCCGCACGGAUGCUACUUUGUUCCUGAAUUCACCUGUUGAUGCGCGUCUGGGUCGUUUAUGGUUCGGACCAGCAGAAAGGAAGCUGCUGCGAACAUUCCCGCGUGUGUUUGCCUCUGGGCUCCUGCUUUCGCUUGUGCGUGAAUCUCACGAGUAGCCUGUCUGGAUCAUACCUCAUUUCCCGGGAAAGGGUCAAAGUCUCCAGCGUGAUUUCACCAUUUUACGUCUGUCCAGCAGCUACGAGAGCGCAGCUGGCUGUGUGUCCUCGCCACGCCUUGGUUACCGUCACCCAAAGGGGCGCGAAGUCGCGUCUCGUGAGGUUUUAACUUGCAUUUCCCUGAUGACUAAGGAUGAGAAUCGGUUCCUGUGCGUCCUUGCGUGUGUGCGAGUUAGAUACUUCUAUGGUGAGGUGCUCCCAGUUUGGUGGGAGGGGGAGGGAUUGUUGCGUAUCUUGAUAUUCGAGGGUUCUUUACGUAUUACAGAUAUAAGCUUUUUUUUUUUUUUUUAUCAGAUGUGUAAUUUGCAAAUAUUCUCUCCCAGGUCAUGCCAUUUCGUUCUCCCAAAAAGGUCGCUGGAAGGGCAGGAGUGUUUAAUUUUUUUUUUUUAAUUUUUUUUCAAUGUUUAUUUAUUUUUGGGACAGAGAGAGACAGAGCAUGAACGGGGGAGGGGCAGAGAGAGAGGGAGACACAGAAUCGG